GUGCCGGCAGCCGCGCGGUAGUACGGAAGGUCCUAGCGUUGUUCGGAAUUACUGGGCGUAAAGCGCAUGUCCGCGGAACAGAAAGUUAGAAGUGAAAUCCCUGGGCUCAACCUAGGAAUUGCUUUUAAAACUUCUGUUCUGGAAUUCAUGAGAGGAAAAUGGAAUUUCCAGUGUAGAGGUGAAAUUCCUAGAUUUUGGAAGGAACACCAGUGGCGAAGGCGAUUUUCUGGACUGAUAUUGACGCUGAGAUGCGAAGGCAUGGGUAGCAAACGGGAUUAGAUACCCCGGUAGUCCAUGCAGUAAACGAUGGGUGCUAGUCGUCGGACUUUUGUUCGGUGUCGUAGCUAACGCGUUAAGCACCCCGCCUGGGGAGUACGGUCGCAAGAUUAAAACUCAAAUAAAUUGACGGGGACCCGCACAAGCAGUGGAGCAUGGGGUUUAAUUCGACGCAACGCGAAGAACCUUACCAGCGUUUGACAUGGAAAGUGCCGGUUACAGAAUGGUAACCUUCAGUUCGGCUGGCUUUCGCACAGGUGCUGCAUGGCUGUCGUCAGCUCGUGUCGUGAGAUGUUGGGUUAAGUCCCGCAACGAGCGCAACCCUUAUCGUUAGUUACUAACAGUUCGGCUGAGGGCUCUGGCGAAACUGCCGGUGAUAAGCCGGAGGAACGUGGGAAUGACGUCAAGUCCUCAUGGCCCUUACACGCUGGGCUACACACGUGCUACAAUGGUAACUACAACUGCACGCACUACCGCGAGGUGGAGCUAAUCCCCUGAGUUAUCUCAGUUCAGAUUGCACUCUGCAACUCGAAUGCGUGAAGUUGGCAUUGCUAGUAAUCGCGGAUCAGCAUGCCGAGAUGAUAGCUACUCGGGUCUGCACACACCGUCCGUCAAUCCUAUGACUAGUAGAU
rnacentral:rRNA from 1 species